GUGCCAGCCGCCGCGGUAAUACCGGCAGCCCGAGUGAUGGCCGAUCUUAUUGGGCCUAAAGCGUCCGUAGCUGGCUGCACAAGUCCGUCGGGAAAUCCACUCGCUUAACGAGUGGGCGUCCGGCGGAAACUGUGCGGCUUGGGACCGGAAGAUCCAAGGGGUACGUCCGGGGUAGGAGUGAAAUCCUAUAAUCCCGCACGGACCACCGAUGGCGAAAGCACUUCGAGAAAACGGAUCCGACAGUGAGGGACGAAAGCCAGGGUCUCCAACCGGAUUAGAUACCCUGUAGUCC
rnacentral:rRNA from 1 species